rnacentral:rRNA from 1 species
AUUGAACGCUGGCGGAAUGCUUUACACAUGCAAGUCGAACGGCAGCACGGGGGCAACCCUGGUGGCGAGUGGCGAACGGGUGAGUAAUACAUCGGAACGUGCCCAGUCGUGGGGGAUGACGUAGCGAAAGUUACGCUAAUACCGCAUACGAUCUACGGAUGAAAGCGGGGGACCGUAAGGCCUCGCGCGAUUGGAGCGGCCGAUGUCAGAUUAGGUAGUUGGUGAGGUAAAGGCACACCAAGCCGACGAUCUGGAGCUGGUCUGAGAGGACGACCAGCCACACUGGGACUGAGAGACGGCACAGACUCCUACGGGAGGCAGCAGUGGGGAAUUUUGGACAAUGGGCGCAAGCCUGAUCCAGCCAUUCCGCGUGCAGGACGAAGGCCUUCGGGUUGUAAACUGCUUUUGUACGGAACGAAAAGGCUCUGGUUAAUACCUGGGGCUCAUGACGGUACCGUAAGAAUAAGCACCGGCUAACUACGUGCCAGCCGCCGCCGUAA